CCUACGGGUGGCUGCAGUGAGGAAUAUUGGUCAAUGGACGAGAGUCUGAACCAGCCAAGUAGCGUGAAGGAUGACUGCCCUAUGGGUUGUAAACUUCUUUUAUAUGGGAAUAAAACGUUCCACGUGUGGGAUUUUGUAUGUACCAUAUGAAUAAGGAUCGGCGAACGCCGUGCCAGCAGCCGCGGUAAUACGGAGGAGCCGAGCGUUAUCCGGAUUUGAUGGGCUUAAAGGGAGCGUAGGUGGAUUGUUAAGUCAGUUGAGAAAGUUUCGGGCUCAACCGUAAAAUUGCAGUUGAAACUGGCAGUCUUGAGUGCGGUAGAGGUGGGCGGAAUUCGUGGUGUAGCGGUGAAAUGCUUAGAUAUCACGAAGAACUCCGAUUGCGAAGGCAGUUCACUGGACUGCAACUGACACUGAGGCUCGAAAGUGUGGGUAUCAAACAGGAUUAGAUACCCGUGUAGUC
rnacentral:rRNA from 1 species